GUGCUUGCAUAGGCAGCACAUAUACAAAAAUUGGAAAGAUACAGAGAAGAUUAGCAUUGCCCCUGCACAAGGAUGACAGGCAAAUAUAUGAAGCGUUCCAUAUUUUU